UUACACUAAAGCAGGCUGAGGCAGAGGGGAAGACAUGUUAGUCUUGUGCUCUUCUAGUUGCUAAAGCGCAGAGCUGCCGGGCUGUGGGAGUCAUGAGGCGGCCCUGCUUCACUCAAUAUGGGCUCUGGGCUUAGGGGGAGACCACCAUGGAUGUGUCUGCAGGUCUAGGCCCUAAGAGCAGUGCGGGGAAAAGGGGUAGCUAGCAAAGGACCAGCGUUCAGCGAGGAGCAUGAGCGGCAGAACGCUGAAGUAGGAGCACUGGCUCUUGUAAAAACUCUGCGGACUAGGGGGCUAGUAAAGAGGGAGAGGUGCCCAGAGAGCAUACAGCGGUUUCGGUCGAGCGAGAGGGAGUUCUCCGGCGGCUGAAGAGUGGUUCUUGAAUCAGACAGAUGAUGUUCCAUCCUCUUUUCUGCCAAUCACCCAAAGAUGAGGACAACACCCAAACUGGCACGAGCUAUGCGCCUAAGGAUUACGAAGGACUAUCGUGCAAAGUUUGUUGCCUGUAAACCAAUGCUUUGAGGUGAAGAUUAUUCGCCCAAAAUGUUCAAGAUUCUCACCAAGGAUAACAGCACUGUAUAAGAAGAGGACCCAAUGGUUCCAAAAGGCCUGGUUUUGCUCUACCGCCGUCUGCCCGGUCUGCCGCAGCUAUUUGGACAGCAACAGGUGAAAAGGUGAGAGGAGAUUGCUGAAAUCCAUAUGACAAAGACGACAUGUCUGCCCAGGAGAUGGAUACCUCACCAGAUAUGUUUUCCCUGCCAUGGUUGUGAUAAUUGGAUUUUCUGGACACCUGUAUGAGUGCAGUAUAUCCAGCGGAUUAUAACCAGGGAAAGGGUGUCUUUCUGACGUUCUUGAUGCACAUCCAAUGAUGAGUGGGUGAUGGAGGUCCCUCUGCUGUAACCCUGACCUCCAGAGCAUAAUGACCGCUCCAAAGACAGGACCUAAGGAAAGAUGAGUCCAACGAAACACAUCUAGACACCACUGCUUCAGCUGCAAACAUGAUGGCAUGAUCUGUCUCUGUGAAGACAAAAACAAUGUACCUGUUGUGCAACUCUCAUAUGGUUGGAUCAUAUGGUUCAUUUUGAAACGGUUCAACUGAAACAGUGAAACUUUUUACCAAUAGAGGCUACGCUGCUUAUGAUAUGAACUGUAUCGUCCGUUGAUGUAUUAUAUUUCAUGAUGUUACAUAUCUUCAAUAAAUGUAUUGGUGUCUUUGGUAGAAAUAUUGAGCAUUACAAUAUUUGGAAACUGGGGUAGGGAGUUCACAAUCAGAGCAGGGGAAGGUAAUUGCAGGUUUUUGUUCCAGCCCUCCAGGACAGAGAAUACCCCCCUACACACACCAUUUGCCACUGUAGGUUUAGAGAUCUACAGAUGGCCUCUGUAAAUAUCUGAAUAAGGCUAGCCUCUACCGUGUAAAUGAUAACACAAUUUCUGGUCAUCAUUGAUCUAAAUACAGAACAUUGUGGGGUAACUAUCCUCCAGUAUGGUGUGUUAUCGUAUAUUGUUCAUGUUGUAUCACUGCAACCCUCUGUCACAAUAGCUGCCCUCUCUCGCUCUACUUUUUCGCGAAGCUCCCAGGACAGCUUUCAGCCAUGGAUAUUCAUCCCCUUUAUUUAAAACACACGUGUUCCACUGGCUACCAGUCAUUCAUCACUGACAACUAGAGUGGGUAUGUGUGGCCAUUUAGGCUUAUUGAUUAGCCAUAUCAUUCACAGAUAUCUCUCUCAAGUAUUUACUGUGUACAUCAGCAAACAGGAACCACACAGUAAGUGGAUAUACCUCCUCACUCACACUUGAAUAUCCUCUGAGAAGAACCCAAGCAGGAAGCGUUUUCUCUGGGGGUGUCAAGUCCAGCCCAGGAGAUGGUCAGCAUCAUGACACUAAGGAAGACCCUUGAGAGAACCAAUCGAAGGCCCAUCUGUGUUCAGCGCAGAGUGAAUCCUGUGUUUCCAGGUUGAAACUGAACGUUAUUAAAACAAGUGGGCUGAAAGGUCAGGAGAGAGCAGCCCACAAAAACAAACAAUUCAUUUGGCAUGGAGGUGUAAUGGGAUGAGAUGUGGACUGGGGUCGGGUCUAUUGUUCUGCUGGAAUUAACCGUGGCAGGUCAUGUGUCACUGGGCACUGACCCCGGCCCCAUUCAGGAGCCCAAACUCUGCAUUAGCCACGGCCCAAAGAGAGGUCAAACAUAGUCACAAACCGGGCACACACACAGCCAGUUCUGACCAGGGCAGCACUUACAAAACAAAGAGGGGUAUUACCAUGCGGUGGUUGUGACACUGGCGGCAUCAAAGGCUUUGUGACUCAUCCGUUGGCCUGAAUCUGUUGGACUGGUGCAUAUUGGAGGCAUUAAGCAUGAACAACAUGCACCUAAAUACUCCUAUUUCAUCUGUGCAAAGUGUGUGAGCCGGAGGUGACUCCACUCCCCAUUCCCACAUCCAUACCUGGCUGAGGUGCAGAGUUGGAAUGAGAGUACAGAGUACAGAGUGAGUCAGAAGAGUGGGUUUGGUUCCCGUGGGGCCUGCUUGGGCAUACACUCAGACCACCCAUCAGGAUUGCUUUGUGCGGUCUAGUCUGCAUGCUUCUUUUCCUCUCUGCAGCGUGUCAGUCUUCUUGCAUGUGAAGCCAAUCGCUCGGCUGUUGUAGGCAUUUCCAUUUCCACCUGACAGAUGCCUGGUGGAACAGUGGCAUGUUGUAAAAACAUCUGAUCCUUUAGCUGCAGGCUACAGAUACUGCUAAUUGAAAAACGCCUAUUCCAAUAUUAUUGUUGCACAGUGCAAUCACAUUCUAUGAUUUCUCAAGACUUGGCUGCUUUGCCUCGUUUCACUGACAUUCCUCCUCUGUCCACUUGAGCGUAUAAUCACAACAUAUUUAUUGAUUAGAGGACAAACAGUAGCUAGCUCAACUGGACGGUAAAUUCCUUUGUUUUAUUCCUAUUCAGCAUGGUGGCAGCAGUACUUCUCCCAGGUAGCUAGACGACAGCCAGCCACAGCUAAAGCAGGCCUUUGCUCCAACAUGGCUCUGCGGUCUCUGCCCUAAUUGAUUGGAAGGGGAAAGGCAGAACAGCUGCCCCAAAGCACAGAGCCAGAAUUAAAACUUCAAUCCCACUCCCGAACACUCAAUUUCAUCCAUGAUCCAGCAUUAUACAAAUGAGUUGAGAACAGACAGCCAGGUGUAUGGUUCCCCAGUAGGGUCCCUGGACCCACUGGCCUCAGAACCACAAACUGCUCCCCUCUCUCUCCCAGCAGCACCAGGCCCUCUGUGCACCUUCUGUGCUCCCUCUGUGCUCCCUACCCUCCUACAGACAGCCCCCAGCCAAAACUACAACAGGCCAAUUCUAGAUUUUAGGGGAUCCAUUCACAGCACUUUUCAUUUAGGUAAGAAUCAACAAGAGGGUGUAACACUUAAAUGAUUAUCAGUCCAGUAGCUUUGCCUGCCAUUUCUGGGCCCUCCUCCACACACAUACAUUAACCAGAAUAUACUAUAAAAUUAGUAGAAAUACUAGCCUACCAAUAAGUAGUAAGUACACGCAUGACUUUCACAGAGGACAACAAAGGAGAUGGAUAUGCAAAAGCUCAGAGUAUGUUAGAAAGUCACUGGGUUAGUUAUAGUGUUACACAACCAGUUUCAAAUUACAACUGUUUUUAAAUGUGAUAUAUAUAUAUUUUACCUUUAUUUAACCAGGCAAGUCAGUUAAGAACAAAUUCUUAUUUUCAAUGACAGCCUAGGAACAGUGGGUUAACUGCCUGUUCAGGG